GGACGAACGGCUGGCGGCGUGCUUAACACAUGCAAGUCGAACGAAGCGGCAGUGAAGGAGGCUUCGGCCAAUGGAUCUGUUGACUUAGUGGCGGACGGGUGAGUAACGCGUGAGCAACCUGCCUUUCAGAGGGGGAUAACGUUUGGAAACGAACGCUAAUACCGCAUAAAGUAAUUUCGCUGCAUGACGAGAUUACCAAAGGAGCAAUCCGCUGAAAGAUGGGCUCGCGUCCGAUUAGAUAGUUGGUGGGGUAACGGCCUACCAAGUCGACGAUCGGUAGCCGGACUGAGAGGUUGAACGGCCACAUUGGGACUGAGACACGGCCCAGACUCCUACGGGAGGCAGCAGUGGGGAAUAUUGCACAAUGGGCGCAAGCCUGAUGCAGCAACGCCGCGUGAGGGAGGACGGUUUUCGGAUUGUAAACCUCUGUCCUUGGUGAAGAUCAUGACGGUAGCCGAGGAGGAAGCCACGGCUAACUACGUGCCAGCCGCCGC
rnacentral:rRNA from 1 species